CCAAUAGCGUAUAUUAAAGUUGUUGCAGUUAAAAAGCUCGUAGUUGAAUUUCGGGGUCAGUAGGUUGGUCAUGCCACUGGUAUGUACUGGUCUCACUGAUUCCUCCUUCCUGAUGAACUGUAAUGCCAUUAAUUUGGUGUUGCAGGGAAUCUGGACUGUUACUUUGAAAAAAUUAGAGUGUUUAAAGCAGGCUAACGCCUGAAUACAUUAGCAUGGAAUAAUGAAAUAGGACGUUCGAUCCUAUUUUGUUGGUUUCUAGGAUUGACGUAAUGAUUAAUAGGGAUAGUUGGGGGCAUUAGUAUUCAAUUGUCAGAGGUGAAAUUCUUGGAUUUAUUGAAGACUAACUACUGCGAAAGCAUUUGCCAAGGAUGUUUUCAUUAAUCAAGAACAAAAGUUAGGGGAUCGAAGACGAUCAGAUACCGUCGUAGUCUUAACCAUAAACUAUGCCGACUAGGGAUCGAAUGAUGUUAAUUUUUUUAAUGACUCAUUCGGCGCCUUACG
rnacentral:rRNA from 1 species